rnacentral:rRNA from 1 species
AUUGAACGCUGGCGGCAGGCUUAACACAUGCAAGUCGAACGGUAGCAGGAGAAAGCUUGCUUUCUUGCUGACGAGUGGCGGACGGGUGAGUAAUGCUUGGGAAUCUGGCUUAUGGAGGGGGAUAACUACGGGAAACUGUAGCUAAUACCGCGUAAUAUCGAAAGAUUAAAGUGUGGGACCUUCGGGCCACAUGCCAUAAGAUGAGCCCAAGUGGGAUUAGGUAGUUGGUGGGGUAAAGGCCUACCAAGCCGACGAUCUCUAGCUGGUCUGAGAGGAUGACCAGCCACACUGGAACUGAGACACGGUCCAGACUCCUACGGGAGGCAGCAGUGGGGAAUAUUGCGCAAUGGGGGGAACCCUGACGCAGCCAUGCCGCGUGAAUGAAGAAGGCCUUCGGGUUGUAAAGUUCUUUCGGUAUUGAGGAAGGGAUGUGUGCUAAUAGUAGACAUCAUUGACGUUAAAUACAGAAGAAGCACCGGCUAACUCCGUGCCAGCAGCCGCGGUAAUACGGAGGGUGCGAGCGUUAAUUGGAAUAACUGGGCGUAAAGGGCACGCAGGCGGUUAUUUAAGUGAGGUGUGAAAGCCCCGGGCUUAACCUGGGAAUUGCAUUUCAGACUGGGUAACUAGAGUACUUUAGGGAGGGGUAGAAUUCCACGUGUAGCGGUGAAAUGCGUAGAGAUGUGGAGGAAUACCGAAGGCGAAGGCAGCCCCUUGGGAAUGUACUGACGCUCAUGUGCGAAAGCGUGGGGAGCAAACAGG